CGCGGGGUGGAGCAGCCCGGUAGCUCGUCAGGCUCAUAACCUGAAGGUCACAGGUUCAAAUCCUGUCCCCGCAC
rfam:Phenylobacterium sp. Root1277 contig_3, whole genome shotgun sequence.